rnacentral:rRNA from 1 species
UACGUAGGGGGCGAGCGUUGUCCGGAAUUAUUGGGCGUAAAGAGCGUGUAGGCGGUCCGGUAAGUCCGCUGUGAAAGUCCAGGGCUCAACCCUGGAAUGCCGGUGGAUACUGCCGGGCUAGAGUCCGGAAGAGGCGAGUGGAAUUCCUGGUGUAGCGGUGAAAUGCGCAGAUAUCAGGAGGAGCACCGAUGGCGAAGGCAGCUCGCUGGGACGGUACUGACGCUGAGACGCGAAAGCGUGGGGAGCAAACAGG